GAAGAAGGUGGGGGGCGUGCUUAACACAUGCAAGUCGAACGGUGAAGCGCCUUCCUUUUUGGUGGGUGUGGAUGAGUGGCGAACGGGUGAGUAACACGUGAGUAACCUGCCCCCUUCUUCUGGAUAACCGCAUGAAAGUGUGGCUAAUACGGGAUAUUCUGGGUCUGUCGCAUGAUGGGUCUGGGAAAGAUAUUGUUUCGGUGGGGGAUGGGCUCGCGGCCUAUCAGCUUGUUGGUGGGGUGAUGGCCUACCAAGGCGGUGACGGGUAGCCGGCCUGAGAGGGUGGACGGUCACACUGGGACUGAGACACGGCCCAGACUCCUACGGGAGGCAGCAGUGGGGAAUAUUGCACAAUGGGCGCAAGCCUGAUGCAGCGACGCCGCGUGAGGGAUGGAGGCCUUCGGGUUGUGAACCUCUUUCGCCAGUGAAGCAGGCCUGCCUCGUUUGUGGGUGGGUUGACGGUAGCUGGAUAAGAAGCGCCGGCUAACUACGUG
rnacentral:rRNA from 1 species